CCUACGGGAGGCAGCAGGAGGGAAUAUUGCUCAAUGGGGGAAACCCGGAAGCAGCAACGCCGCGUGGAGGAUGAAGGUGUUCGGAUUGGAAACUCCUUGUGUUAGAGAAGAGAAUGACGGUAGCUAACGAAUAAGCACCGGCUAACUCCGUGCCAGCAGCCGCGGUAAUACGGAGGGUGCAAGCGUUACGCGGAAUCACUGGGCGUCAAGAGCGCGUAGGCGGGAUAGCAAGUCAGAUGUGAAAUCCUAUGGCUUAACAAUAGAACUGCAUUUGAAACGGUUAUUCUCGCGUAUGGGAGCGGUCGGUGGCCUUCUUGGUGUCGGGGUCCAUUCCGUCGCGC
rnacentral:rRNA from 1 species